ensembl:misc_RNA Metazoa_SRP Metazoan signal recognition particle RNA
GCUGGGUGCAGUUGUGUGCACCUGUAGUCCCAGAUACUCAGGAGGCUGAGGCAGGAGGAUUUCUUGAGCCCAGGAGUUCAAGGCUGCAGUGAGCGGAGAUUCUACCACUACACUCCAGCCUGGGCAACAAAUUGAGACUCUGUCUCAA